rnacentral:lncRNA from 10 species
GCCAGACUCAGACGCCCAGCUGGCUUCACCCAGUGGAUCCCACACGGUGGCCACAGGUGGAGCUGCCUGCCAGUCCCAAGCCCUGAGCCCGCACUCCUCAGCCUUUGGGUGGUCCAUGGGACUGGGUGCCAUGGAGCAGGGGGCGGGGCUCGUCCGGGAGGCUCCAGGGGCACAGCAGCCCACGGCAGGUGGCGGUGAGGCUCAGGCAUGGCGGGCUGCAGGUCCCAAGCCCUGCCCCGCAAGGAGGAGCUAAGGCCCUGCGAGAAAAGGAGGCAGCUAAGGCCCGGUGAGAAGUCGAGCACAGCAGCUGCUGGCCCAGGGGCUAAGCCCCUUACUGCCCGGCUGGCGGGGCCGGCUGGCUGCUCCGAGUGUGGGGGCCCGCCGAGCCCACGCCCAUCCAGAGCUCACGCUGGCUCACAAGCGGCACGCACAGCCCCGGUUCCCGCCUACGCCUCUCCCUCCUCACAUCCGGGCAAGCUGAGGGAGCCGGCUCCGGCCUUGGCCAGCCCAGGAAGGGGCUCCCCCAGUGCAGCCGCCGGCUGAAGGGCUCCCCAAGUGCCGCCAGAGUGGGCGCGGAGGCCGAAGAGGCACCGAGAGCGAGCGAGGGCUGUGAGGGCCGCCAGCAAGCUGUCACCUCUCAGUACCGCACAGGUUAAGGAAAAAGAACAAAACAAAACUGGCUAUCUGGAUCAACUGGGAUGCUAGGAAAAGCACUGCAGAGGUUCAAACUUCAAAGCUUGUCAAUUUGGAAUAUGCAGAGUGCUUGAUGCCAAGAAGUAUCAAUUUAGGAUGCCACUUGCCU